GGCAGGUGUCCUCGGGCCGCUCUGCGCCUGCGCGGGUGCGCCGCGCGCCCGCAGUGAGAGGCCCGGAUGGAGACGCGGCGGCGCGCCGUUGCUAUGGCAGCCCGGCCCCGGCCGCCGCGGGAGCAGGUGCUGGGGUCUCCGUCGCCGCCCUCCAUGUCCGAGCUGAGAACGAGGAGAGCAGAAGUGCGCCGCCCGCCCCCGUGACCCCAGCCGCCGCGGCCUACUCAGCAUUAUUCUUUAACAAACGGAAAAUGGAAGAAAAUAAAGAUACGGACUCAAAAGAAAGUGGAGAAUAUGAAGACGACUUUGAAAAGGACCUGGAAUGGUUAAUUAAUGAAAAAGAAAAAAGUGGUACCAGCAUAAUAGAGAUGGCUUGUGGGAAUGAAGAGAAUAUUAACCAAGAAUUAAAAGCCAAUGAAACAGAAAUAGAACACACCGAACAACAUUCUGAUCCUGACAAAUCUUCGAAGGAUGAGCUUUCACCAAGAAGAAAUGACUUCAUUUCUGUACCGAGUAUUCAACCUUUGGAUCCCAUAUCAGAUUCAGAUAGUGAAAACUCUUUCCAGGAAUCCAGAGUGGAAAGCCAGAGAGACCUGGAAGAGGAAGAGGAUGAGGAAGUAAGGAGAUACAUUAUGGAGAAAAUUAUGCAAGCCAACAAGAUCCUGCAGAAUCAAGAACCUGUGAAUGAUAGAAGAGAGCGAAAACUCAAGUUCAAAGACAAAUUAGUUGAUCUGGAAGUUCCUCCGCUGGAAGACACUGACACUCACAAAAAUUAUUUUGAAAAUGAAAGUAGUAUGUCAGGAAAACUGUCACAGUUAUGUAUUUCCAAUGAAUUUGGACAGGAAAAUGUGCUCCUGUCACUAACUGAUGGAAACGGUGAAGAAAACAAGGAUAGGAAAAUACUAGUAGAGAGAGAUGGAAAGUUUGAACUUCUGAACUUACAAGACAUUGAGAGUCAGGGGUUUUUGCCCCCCAUUCAUGCUCACGGUACAGAAAAUGAACCUCAUCAGUUGUCCCCCAGAUCUUCCAACUCAAGUGUCAAUGGGGCGAAGAAGGAAGAGUCUAUAGCAAGGAUUCAUGCAGUUGCUCACUCAGCAGCAGAAGAGCCACUGGCUUACAUCCCUCAGCCACCGCCCAACCCCAAGACACGUCCGAGCUCUGCUGUCAACUCAGAUCGAAGUAAGGGUAAUGGGAAAUCUAAUCACAGGACCCAGUCUGCGAAUGUAUCUCCAGUGACCUCAACAUACGGUCUUUCCCCUCGACAGAAAGAACUGCAAAAGCGGCUAGAACUGAAGAGAGAAAAGCUAAAGAGAGAGGAAGAACAACGAAAAAUAGAAGAAGAAAAAGAAAAGAAAAAAGAGAAUGACAUGGUAUUUAAAGCAUGGUUGCAAAAGAAAAGAGAGCAGGUCCUAGAAAUGAGGAGAAUUCAGCGAGCAAAACAAAUCGAAAACAUGAAUAGUAGAUGCUGUAGUGAACAUGUUGGUUCUGCAGGAGAGUGUCUUAAGAGUGGAGUUGAUGACUUGCUGGACGUUCAGGUGAAAUUUUUGGUUAAAUGUGCAAAAAUUAACCUCCCAAAAGGUGUGCCAAUUUCCAGUCCCUUCAACACAGGAAAACAGAGAUCCACAGCAAGCUUUUCGAUUAUGGCUUAAGAAAAAGCAUGAAGAGCAGUUGAAAGAAAGAAAGACAGAAGAACUACGAAAGCAAGAGGAAUGCUUAUUCUUCCUUCAAGGAACAGAGGGCCGUGAGCGGGCCUUCAAACAAUGGCUGCGAAGGAAACGGAUUGAAAAACUAGCAGAGCAACAAGCUGUCAGAGAAAGAACUAGACAGCUCCGACUGGAAGCAAAGCAUUCUAAACAACUACAGAACCACCUGUAUAUGUCAGAAGCCAAAGCAUUUCGUUUUACUGAUCAUUAUAACUGAGAGUAUCUAUUAAACACUUCAUUUGGAAGCUGCUUUUCUCAAAA